rnacentral:lncRNA from 1 species
CCGGAGCUUCCCUCCUCCCUCGGCACAGAGAGCAGCAGGGGCCUGGGCAGGUUUCUGGAGGAGCCGGGACGGGAACUGCCUCGGCCUCCUGGGUCUGGGUCCGCAGAGACUGGGGUGGAGUCUCACCCAGGGAGGGUGCAAACAGCGAGGCCACUGAGACAUGUGGACACCCCCAGGGUGCAGUGAGCGGCCACAGCAGGGCUCCCAGGGAGGAGGGGCACUAGGCACCGGGCUUGGGCCUCGGGCCUGCACCUCCUGGGGGUGGAGGAAGAACCCGCCAUCACCUUGCCCGGUGGCUUCCAUUUAAGCUGUCAACCUCGGGUGGGGGUGACAUGGGACACUGCACUCUGAGGGGGCGAUGGCUCCUGGGAUGAGUGACGUGAGCUCCAGCAAGUGCCCCGUCCCCCAGGCAGAGCGCCAUCAUCCUCUCCAUCAGGCGGAGGCUCCACAGAGGUGACGGAGCCGCUUCCUGGAGCGGCUGUCACGUGGGUUGGUCACCACAGAGAAGCAGCCCUCCAGAGGUCCCUCCAGAGGGCCUGACGUUGGACAUGAGCGCUUCCCAAAUGUGUCUUCCAGACCCAUCUUUGCAGUAAAACCCGCACUUCAUUAGCGCACUGAGCAGGAGCUUUACUCCUGGAUUCAUUUGUCCUUCUUCACUCUGGAAAAACUCUGCGAGCAAAACCCUGGAGGGAGGGAGGGAGGUACCUGCUGGAGCCUCGGAGGACCCCUGGGUGAGCCCUCAGCCCGAGGCCACCUUCCUGGACCUCAGGGCUGGGUGGGGACAUGGAAAGGACAGCACCGGGGGUUGGCUGGGUGCUAGGUGGGCUUGGUAUGUCCCUACCACACUGUCCCACCUGUUCCUCCAACCUCACAAUAGAGGACCAGCGGGC